rnacentral:rRNA from 1 species
UAGUACACUUAAGUUUAAUUUGUGAAUACUAGGAUAUUAGGAGUUGUGUUCUUUAAAUUUAAAAAACUUGGCGGUGUUUUAAUCUAAUUAGAGGAACCUGUACUGUAAGCGAUACUACACGUAUUAUUCUACUUGUUUUUGUGAGUCAGUUUGUAUACCGUCAUUAUAAGAUAAUUUAGGAGAGAAUAUUGUUGGAAUCAUAUUAUUGAGUAUAUUAGAUCAAGGUGCAGCUUAUAAAUAAGUAGAUAUGGGUUACAAUAAAAUUUAUUUAAUAUGGAUUAAGUAUUUAAAUAUGUUUAUGAAGGAGGAUUUAAUUGUAAGAAAGGGAGUAGUGAGAUUUUCUGAUACAAGCUCUAAAUUGC